CUGGUGGUAGGGCUUUGUGCAAGCUCGUCUGGGUAGGUACCACCCACUCAUCAGAUAUUCUACCGCAAAACAGCAAUACUUGAUAUUGUUGUGUUCCGGUUUGAAGGGUGAGUGAGCCAGUGUAAUUACAGGCACAAGGGACAUAAAAUCUUAGUUCCCAAGGUUGGUGGCGCAUUGGAUAUAAGCGAUGGUUGACAUUUCUUACAAUGCCAAUGUCUAAGGGCGAUUGGUGACCACUUACCAUCAGGUGGCCCAUAUGCUCGGCCACCUUCCUAUUCUAUAAAAAAAAAAAACUAUUAGGACGCCAUUUUAUCACGAAUCUAUAAUGCCUAUGUUGUGUUAGAUGUCGACCAAUGAUAUCAAGUUAAUUUAAGGUCAAAGUCGUUUAUUUGUCUCUACUCUUCUAUCAUUGGAGUAGACUAUAAAUCACUCUCUUUUUACAGUAAGGGCCGUAUGUACUUCUCUAAUUAUUUUUGGGUGCCAAUUUAUACUGGUGGAUAGUGUGCAAUAUUUCAUAUUGUUAUGUGUGAUUGGUACUGUCGGCUGUAGUUUGAGGACCUGUUCGAAGUGAUCGCUUAAAAAUUUCAAAUAUGAAAUGUGCGUUGUGAAAAUGUGAUGUUAUUUUAUUAAACGUUUAUAAAUAUAA